GUCCUAGCCCUAAACGGUGCACGUUUGCUGUGAGCGGAUUCGACCCCGUUCGUGGCGAAGCUAACGCGUUAAACGUGCCGCCUGGGAAGUACGGUCGCAAGAUUAAAACUCAAAGAAAUUGACGGGGGCCUGCACAAGCGGUGGAGUAUGUGGCUCAAUUCGAUGCAACGCGAAGAACCUUACCUGGCCUUGACAUGUGAGUAGUAGAAGGAUGAAAGUCUGACGAUCCCGCAAGGGAAGCUUACACAGGUGCUGCAUGGCUGUCGU
rnacentral:rRNA from 1 species